UACGUAGGGUGCAAGCGUUGUCCGGAAUUAUUGGGCGUAAAGAGCUCGUAGGCGGCUUGUCGCGUCUGCUGUGAAAACCCGAGGCUUAACCUCGGGCCUGCAUUCGAUACGGGCUGACUAGAGUUCGGUAGGGGAGACUGGAAUUCCUGGUGUAGCGGUGAAAUGCGCAGAUAUCAGGAGGAACACCGGUGGCGAAGGCGGGUCUCUGGGCCGAUACUGACGCUGAGGAGCGAAAGCGUGGGGAGCGAACAGG
rnacentral:rRNA from 1 species